rnacentral:rRNA from 1 species
CCACGCUUUCGCACCUGAGCGUCAGUACCGGUCCAGGGGGCCGCCUUCGCCACCGGUGUUCCUCCAAAUAUCUACGCAUUUCACCGCUACACUGGGAAUUCUACCCACCUCUACCAGACUCAAGCUUGACAGUAUGACAUGCAGUUCCUAGGUUGAGCCCGGGGAUUUCACAUGUGACUUAACAAACCGCCUGCGCGCGCUUUACGCCCAAUAAUUCCGA